AUUGAACGCUGGCGGCAUGCCUUACACAUGCAAGUCGAACGGCAGCACGGGUGCUUGCACCUGGUGGCGAGUGGCGAACGGGUGAGUAGUGCAUCGGAACGUACCCAGUAGUGGGGGAUAACUACCCGAAAGGGUGGCUAAUACCGCAUAUACUGUGCGCAGGAAAGCAGGGGACCGUUUGGCCUUGUGCUACUGGAGCGGCCGAUGUCAGAUUAGCUAGUUGGUGGGGUAAAGGCCUACCAAGGCGACGAUCUGUAGCGGGUCUGAGAGGAUGAUCCGCCACACUGGGACUGAGACACGGCCCAG
rnacentral:rRNA from 2 species